rnacentral:hammerhead_ribozyme from 1 species
AUCCGACUGACGAGUUCCAAAUGGGACGAAACGCGCGUUCUAGAU